AAACGACUCUCGGCAACGGAUAUCUCGGCUCACGCAUCGAUGAAGAACGUAGCAAAAUGCGAUACUUGGUGUGAAUUGCAGAAUCCCGUGAACCAUCGAGUUUUUGAACGCAAGUUGCGCCCGAAGCCAUUCGGCCGAGGGCACGUCUGCUUGGGCGUCACGCA
rnacentral:rRNA from 1 species